rnacentral:tRNA from 1 species
CCUGGUGGCUUAGAGGGUAAAGCAUCUGCCUGCAAUGCGGGAGACCUGGGUUCAAUCCCUGGAGUCGGGA